UACGUAGGGUGCGAGCGUUGUCCGGAAUUAUUGGGCGUAAAGAGCUCGUAGGCGGUUUGUCGCGUCUGCUGUGAAAACCCGAGGCUCAACCUCGGGCCUGCAGUGGGUACGGGCAGACUAGAGUGCGGUAGGGGAGAUUGGAAUUCCUGGUGUAGCGGUGGAAUGCGCAGAUAUCAGGAGGAACACCAAUGGCGAAGGCAGAUCUCUGGGCCGUAACUGAGCUGAGGAGCGAAAGCAUGGGGAGCGAACAGG
rnacentral:rRNA from 1 species